rnacentral:rRNA from 1 species
AGCGAACGCUGGCGGCAGGCCUAACACACGCAAGUCGAACGAAGUCUUCGGACUUAGUGGCGGACGGGUGAGUAACACGUGGGAACGUGCCUUUAGGUUCGGAAUAACUCAGGGAAACUUGUGCUAAUACCGAAUGUGCCCUUCGGGGGAAAGAUUUAUCGCCUUUAGAGCGGCCCGCGUCUGAUUAGCUAGUUUGUGAGGUAAAUGCUCACCAAGGGUACGAUCAGUAGCUGGUCUGAGAGGAUGACCAGCCACAUUGGGGCUGAGACACGGCCCAAACUCCGACGGGAGGCAGCAGUGGGGAAUCUUGCGCAAUGGGCGAAAGCCUGACGCAGCCAUGCCGCGUGGAUGUUGAAGGUCUUAGGAUUGUAAAAUUCUUUCACCGGGGACGAUAAUGACGGUACCCGGAGAAGAAGCCCCGGCUAACCUCGUGCCAGCCGCCGCCGUAACAC